UACGAAGGGGGCUAGCGUUGCUCGGAAUUACUGGGCGUAAGUGUGCGCAGGCGGCAGAGCAAGUCGAGUGUGAAAGCCCCGGGCUUAACUUGGGAAUUGCGCUCGAAACUACUUUGCUGGAGUGUGGCAGAGGAAGGUGGAAUUCCACGUGUAGCGGUGAAAUGCGUAGAGAUGUGGAGGAACACCAAUGGCGAAGGCAGCCUUCUGGGCCAACACUGACGCUCAUGCACGAAAGCGUGGGGAGCAAACAGG
rnacentral:rRNA from 1 species